GAUGAACGCUGGCGGCGUGCCUAAUACAUGCAAGUCGAGCGAACAGACGAGGAUCUUGCUCCUCUGACGUUAGCGGCGGACGUGUGAGUAACACGUGGAUAACCUACCUAUAAGACUGGUAUAACUUCGGGAAACCGGAGCUAAUACCGUAUAAUAUAUUGAACCGCAUGUUUCAAUAGUGAAAGACGGUUUUGCUGUCACUUAUAGAUGGAUCCGCGCCGCAUUAGCUAGUUGGUAAGGUAACGGCUUACCAAGGCAACGAUGCGUAGCCGACCUGAGAGGGUGAUCGGCCACACUGGAACUGAGACACGGUCCAGACUCCUACGGGAGGCAGCAGUAGGGAAUCUUCCGCAAUGGGCGAAAGCAUGACGGAGCAACGCCGCGUGAGUGAUGAAGGUCUUCGGAUCGUAAAACUCUGUUAUUAGGGAAGAACAAAUGUGUAAGUAACUAUGCACGUAUUGACGGUAACUAAUCAGAAAGCAACGGCUAACUACGUG
rnacentral:rRNA from 1 species